CAGGAUGAACGCUAGCUACAGGCUAACACAUGCAAGUCGAGGGGCAGCAUUGAGAUAGCUUGCUAUUCAGAUGGCGACCGGCGCACGGGUGCGUAACACGUAUCCAAUCUACCCAUGGCUCAGGGAUAGCCUUUCGAAAGAAAGAUUAAUACCUGAUGGUCUCAAGUUAAGACAUCUUUUCUUGAGUAAAGAUUUAUCGGCGAUGGAUGAGGAUGCGUCCGAUUAGGUAGUAGGCGGGGUAACGGCCCACCUAGCCGACGAUCGGUAGGGGUUCUGAGAGGAAGGUCCCCCACAUUGGAACUGAGACACGGUCCAAACUCCUACGGGAGGCAGCAGUGAGGAAUAUUGGUCAGUGGGCGAGAGCCUGAACCAGCCAAAAGUAGCGUGAGGGAUGACGGCCCUACGGGUUGUAAACCUCUUUUGUUUGGGAAUAAAGUGUCCCACGUGUUGGGAUUUUGUAUGUACCUUACGAAUAAGCAUCGGCUAAUUCCGUGCCAGCAGCGGC
rnacentral:rRNA from 1 species